rnacentral:lncRNA from 1 species
AAGCCUGGUAUGAAUGGUCUGUAUGAGGUCUGGGGAGCAGAAGGUCACUAGGGGCAGAAAUACCCUGAAUGGAGGCCAGCAGGGGCUGAUGCUCCCUGCCAGCUACCACGCACUGUCUUCCAUGUUUUCCACAGGUUAUCCUCCACAAGCGUUGGAGCUGCAGCAUAAACUCUAUGUCAGGGAGGAAGAGCCAGGGCCAAGCACCACUGGGCAGGAGCUGGCCCUCAGGGAAAUGGACCUAACACUGGGAAGGUAAAGCCUGCCCAGGGUGACAGGGUCACAUACAGCUGAGUCCUGGAACUGAACCUCUCUGAGCUUCAGCCUGCUCCUCUGAACUGUGGGAUGCCAAUAAAACCAACAUCAUGGUAGGAAAGGCAGGCCUCUCAUACUGCUACCCCCCUCUUCCUUUUUUGGUGUCUCCUCACUCCUUAACUUGCACUUGCCUCACUAUCCACUUGGUAAUAUCCACAGCCAGGUCACUAUGACAGGACUCAACAUGGAGGACCAAGGCCACCAGGCCCAGCAUUGAGAGAAAAACCUGGAGUCCACAGAGGAUCAGCAGAAGCUGCAGGGCAACCUCUGGUGCUUGUGGAAACUCUAGCUCAAGUUCCACCACGUCCACUACCUGAGAGAGAGCUGGCGCUAAAACACCUGCAAUGGCACCUCCAGACCAACAACCCCUGCUGGCCCCUCAGCCAGCACCACUUACUGAGACCAACCCAGAGUCUCCCUUCCUCUCCUCUGCCAUUUAUUUAUUUCUUAUUUUUAUUUUCUUUGUUUAUUUACUUUUGCAUAAUGCUAUGUUUUAAAAUAUUUCGUUUACUGGCAUUGAGUACAUUCUCUAAACUGUGCACUGGUCACCACUAUGUAGUUCCAGAAUAUUUUACUGAAUUCGGUAUCCAUGACCACUGCCUCCCCCACCCUCCUGCUAGUCCCCAGCAACCCCUCAGCUUUCUAGUCCUGUGAUAUGCCUAGUCUGCAUUUUUCAAACCAGUGCAGUCUGAUUUCUCCUGGGCCAUAUAAUGUUGGAAAGGACUAUUUAAGUUUCUUUAGAUGGGUAAAUGCCAUUCAGGUCUGUUUUUU